UGGACCAAUUACAAGAGUGUGUCAUGAGCUAAGGAUUAUGAUUAAACUAACUCUGUGUACCUGAGAACUAAA
rnacentral:snoRNA from 14 species